UUUAUGGAGAGUUUGAUCCUGGCUCAGGAUGAACGCUGGCGGCGUGCCUAAUACAUGCAAGUCGAGCGAACGGACGAGAAGCUUGCUUCUCUGAUGUUAGCGGCGGACGGGUGAGUAACACGUGGAUAACCUACCUAUAAGACUGGAAUCACUUCGAGACACCGGAGCUA
rnacentral:rRNA from 1 species